CCUACGGGAGGCAGCAGUGAGGAAUAUUGGUCAAUGGGCGAGAGCCUGAACCAGCCAAGUAGCGUGAAGGAUGACUGCCCUACGGGUUGUAAACUUCUUUUAUAAAGGAAUAAAGUGAGGCACGUGUGCCUUUUUGUAUGUACUUUAUGAAGAAGCCCCGGCUAACUACGUGCCAGCAGCCGCGGUAAUACGUAGGGGGCAAGCGUUAUCCGGAUUUACUGGGUGUAAAGGGAGCGUAGGCGGCGGUGCAAGUCUGGAGUGAAAGGCGGGGGCUCAACCCCCGUAGUGCUCUGGAAACUGUACGGCUUGAGUGCAGGAGAGGUAAGUGGAAUGCGUGGUGUAGCGGUGAAAUGCGUAGAUAUUAGGAGGAACACCAGUUGCGAAGGCGGCUUACGGGAGUGUAACUGACGUUGAGGCUCGAAAGCGUGGGGAGCGAACAGGAGUAGAUACCCUAGUAGUC
rnacentral:rRNA from 1 species